AGUGAACGCUGGCGGUAGGCCUAACACAUGCAAGUCGAACGGCAGCACAGGAGAGCUUGCUCUCUAGGUGGCGAGUGGCGGACGGGUGAGGAAUACAUCGGAAUCUGCCCAGUCGUGGGGGAUAACGUAGGGAAACUUACGCUAAUACCGCAUACGACCUUCGGGUGAAAGAGGGGGAUCGCAAGACCUCUCGCGAUUGGAUGAGCCGAUGUCGGAUUAGCUAGUUAGCGGGGUAAUGGCCCACCAAGGCGACGAUCCGUAGCUGGUCUGAGAGGAUGAUCAGCCACACUGGAACUGAGACACGGUCCAGACUCCUACGGGAGGCAGCAGUGGGGAAUAUUGAACAAUGGGCGCAAGCCUGAUCCAGCCAUACCGCGUGGGUGAAGAAGGCCUUCGGGUUGUAAAGCCCUUUUGUUGGGAAAGAAAUCUUUCAGGCUAAUGCCCUGGGAGGAUGACGGUACCCAAAGAAUAAGCACCGGCUAACUUCGUG
rnacentral:rRNA from 1 species